AAAUAUGUCUCUCAUAGAUUGAAUUAAUUUAUGUGUAUACUGAAAAUUUCAUUGAGAUCGGUCAAUGCAUUUAGAAGUUAUAAGUAUGUUACGUUUCUCUCUCGGAAAUUUCCUUAUUUGAAGUUGGAUGCGUACACCCGGCAUAGACAGCCUUCUAGAAAAUUCGAGACCAACGCGAAGCAAGGGCGCGGUCCUUCGGAGUCUCGUAGAGUCCGCCCCCACCAUUCUUUUUACUCCAAUUUCUGGGUAUAAAAAGGGUGGCGACGAAGGCACUUUGGUUUAGUUACGGUCUAGAAAGAGUUCAGUAUGUGUCAGUGCGAUUCAUUUACGGAAAAUCUCUGCAACGAGGGAACUCUGCAAGCUCGGGUAUUCAAGUUCCCUUCGAGCUAUCACUUAACAAUACAGUACGUUGUCUGCUGUUAGGCAUUGUUUUACAGUUGAAGUCCGGCCUCGUUUGUUCGCGUUCGUUAAAAGCGAGAAGGAUUAUUUUCUUACGUCGAGGAAUCGAAACUCAACAGUUUAACUCAAUUCAUUUUAUUCCCUUGACAAGGUUGUAAAUCUAGAAUCGUUCAUUCAAUACCGCAACAAUUACACGCAACAUAUGUAAAGUUCCGGCACAAGACAAUAAAUUUAGGUCAUUUAUAGUAAGGUAUACUUAUAACGCUCGAGAUGCACCGAUAAUUCAAGUUACGAGGCCUAAUACUAACAUUUCCUGCGGCUCCCUACGUUAGCCAUACGUAGGUUCGUCCGCAUUUCACUCUCCUGAGGCUCCCUACGUUAGCCAUACGUAGGUUCGUCCUCACGUCUUCACCUUUCCUGUGGCUCCCUACGUUAGCCAUACGUAGGUUCGUCCACGAUAACCAACCUCCUGGAGCUCCCUACGUUAGCCAUACGUAGGUUCGUCUCCGCGUCUAUUUCCUUAGGCUCCCACUGUUAACUGACAACACUGAUCAAACCAAUUAACAACUCCAUAACCAAAAUAUAGCCCCGGCCAUGCAGCCGUCCCCUCCGGCUCGUAACAUUCAGUUAUAAUAACCUGUCUAGGGAAUCUACUAAGGUGUACCUUUACCGCUUGAGAUGUACUAAUAAUUGAAGUUACGAGGCCUAAUACUAACAUUUCCUGCGGCUCCCUACGUUAGCCAUAUGUAGGUUCGUCCGCAUAUCACUCUCCUGAGGCUCCUUACGUUAGCCAUACGUAGGUUCGUCCUCGCGUCUUCACCUUUCCUGUGGCUCCCUACGUUAGCCAUACGUAGGUUCGUCCACGAUAACCAACCUCCUGGAGCUCCCUACGUUAGCCAUACGUAGGUUCGUCUCCGCGUCUAUUUCCUUAGGCUCCCAGUUGUUAACUAACAACACUGAUCAAACCAAUUAACAACUCCAUAACCAAAAUAUAGCCCCGGCCAUGCAGCCGUCCCCUCCGGCUCGUAACAUUCAGUUAUAAUAAUCUGUCUAGGGAAUCUACUAAGGUGUACCUUUACCGCUCGAGAUGUACUAAUAAUUCAAGUUACGAGGCCUAAUACUAACAUUUCCUGCGGCUCCCUACGUUAGCCAUAUGUAGGUUCGUCCGCAUAUCACUCUCCUGAGGCUCCUUACGUUAGCCAUACGUAGGUUCGUCCUCGCGUCUUCACCUUUCCUGUGGCUCCCUACGUUAGCCAUACGUAGGUUCGUCCACGAUAACCAACCUCCUGGAGCUCCCUACGUUAGCCAUACGUAGGUUCGUCUCCGCGUCUAUUUCCUUAGGCUCCCAGUGUUAACUGACAACACUGGUCAAGCCAAUUAACAACUCCAUAACCAAAAUAUAGCCCCGGCCACGCAGCCGUCCCCUCCGGCUCGUAACAUAUGCAUGCUGAAAAUUUCAUUGCGAUCGGUCCACGCACUUAGAAGUUAACAUCAAUUAAAAUUGGCGUAAAUCUCAAUUCUUCAUUUAUGAUCAUAAUUAGUCAUCGAUUAGAAGAAGGGUUAACAAAAAUCGGUUAUAUCCGGUUUGCCCUGUAUUUCUGCAUGGCUCAUCAGUUGAAAAUAAUUUUUGCGAUUUUGUAAUAUCGAGAAAAACAAUAUCAUGUGACGGGUAAAUGACAAAAGCUUCAAGUUUGUGUCCAUCAAUAAUUUUAUUAAAACGCAAACAUUCUCAUUCGUCGCUUUACGUUGUCAUAUUUCAUCGUGGUAAGAGAAUUUAUCAUAACCUUCUCGAGUGUAACAUAUCUUGACAUAUCUUAUAGGCGAUACCUUCCCGAGUAAUUUUUCCUUAUAACUUUACCGUCGGUCAUUGUUUAGUAAAAAAUUAUUAACAAUGAAAGAUUGAAAAAUGUACUGUUAUUUUUCUAAAAAUCUAAAUUAUUUCCGCAUGAAGUGCUGCCACAUUAGUUAAACAUUCUAGUAUUGGAACUAACAAAUAGGCUUUGCCCUUCCCUCGCACCUCCGCUUCUAAAAAAACUAAACAUCAAGAUGAAAUGUAGUGGGUCUUUUCGUCAUGAAAUCAGAACAGCGCGAUUGCACUGCGUGGGACUCAAGUGUUAAUAAGGUUGUAUAAUUUUUUCUAUUCAGUAUUUCAAAACUCUCUUUGGCCUAGUGUGAUACUAGAUGCUUUAAAAAUUUGAAGUUGAUAGUUGCAGUAGAUUCUGAGAACAAGGUACCGCAGAAAAUGUCCACUCCCCUUAUGAGAUAGGGCCGGAUUUAGUGUAUCAUUUAUCCUGGGCGAGUAUGCGUAUAAAAAUUUUCCGGCUCGAAGAUAGUGCAAUUUUUUAUUAUGCGUUUUUAAAAAUUAGAUUUAAGGUAACCUUGGGUGUUCGCUGCCCUUGCUGUCGAAAACUGGUACUGCUUAGGAACUUCCUGGUAAUAAAUUACGAAAAGUUAGAAGCUGUAGAUCACGAUUAUCUACAGCCUCAAAAAUAGCAGAAAUCACGUAUAACUGACCUUGAUGUCUUUGGCUUUCUUCAUCCUAUCGUCAAUAACAUGGGAUCUACGUUUAUCAUGAUGCCUGGUGACAGGUCUAGACGAAACGGAUGAUGUUGGCAAUGAGGAGACCGAACCGUAACUAAAUUGAUCUGUAAUCCGGAGUUCAAUUAUUCAAAUGGGACACACACGUAUCGUUGGCCAUGAAGUGGUUAACUAAUUGCAAGUAUCGUGGGAUAAGGUAUUACUUACGAUGGGAGAAUUUCUUUGCCGUCUCUUUCU